UAGGGAAUCUUCCACAAUGGACGCAAGUCUGAUGGAGCAACGCCGCGUGAGUGAAGAAGGUUUUCGGAUCGUAAAGCUCUGUUGUUGGUGAAGAAGGAUAGAGGUAGUAACUGGCCCUUUAUUUGACGGUAAUCAACCAGAAAGUCACGGCUAACUACGUGCCAGCAGCCGCGGUAAUACGUAGGUGGCAAGCGUUGUCCGGAUUUAUUGGGCGUAAAGCGAGCGCAGGCGGAAGAAUAAGUCUGAUGUGAAAGCCCUCGGCUUAACCGAGGAAUUGCAUCGGAAACUGUUUUUCUUGAGUGCAGAAGAGGAGAGUAGAACUCCAUGUGUAGCGGUGGAAUGCGUAGAUAUAUGGAAGAAUACCAGUGGCGAAGGCGGCUCUCUGGUCUGCAACUGACGCUGAGGCUCGAAAGCAUGGGUAGCGAACAGGAUUAGAUACCCUGGUAGUCCAUGCCGUAAACGAUGAGUGCUAAGUGUUGGGAGGCUUCCGCCUCUCAGUGCUGCAGCUAACGCAUUAAGCACUCCGCCUGGGGGAGUACGACCGCAAGGUUGAAAC
rnacentral:rRNA from 1 species